rnacentral:lncRNA from 1 species
AUUAGGAGCAUUAAUAUUAUCAAUUAUAUUGGGGAUAUCUGUAUAUACACACUUUCUUCUGUAUGACAGUAAGCCUUAGCUAAUAUAGAAAACCUGAUGAUGUCUAUAUGAGAAUCUUGGAAUAAACCAAAUUCCCAAAAGACAAAGGAAGCAUGCAAAUAAACACAUCCAUGACGAAAACAAAAAGCAUAACAAUAUUCACUAUUAAUUUCACUCCCACCAACUAACCCCAUUGAUGGCAUUAAUGUUCAAAAUUCUCAUAUAUCAUGAUUUCUUCAAAAAUACUCUAACUAUAUAUAUAUAUAUUCUCUCAUUAACAUUAUUAUAUAACCUCAAACCUAAAAUUUUAUAUACAUCUGUAAACUUACCAGAAAGACUUAUGGAGCAUAAAAAUGCUCUUGAAAAUGUAAUAUAGAAAAGUGUAAGAAAAAAUAUUAAAGAGGUGUUGCCACAAUCCUAUAGCAAUUAUAGUGUGACACCAAAUUACAACGAUGUGGCUGCAACACAACCGCAUCGGACCACAUUUGGGUUGUAAUGCAACUGUAUCGGGUCGCAUUAGAACGCAUUAAUUUCAAAAAUAUUUUCUUUCUUAUAAAAUAAUUCACAUUGCAACCGCAAUAGCGACCGCUACUACAAUUUAAAACACUGGAUAUAGGCAGGUAGCUAUGUCUCUGCAGGUGACUUAUCUGUUAUGUAGAGGAUUAGGACCAGUGUACACUUUUCUCUUGUCUGCACCAAAAACUUGGUCACCAAUAUUUUUAUCUGCUUUGUUCCCUUGAACUCCAACAUGGAAUUCAGAAGAUUUGAGCUCAGAAGAUGAAGAACCACCUUUAAAUCUGUCAAAUCUUCUGGCUUUCUCAGCUGUGGUACUUGAAGUGGUAGUGCUCAAUAGUAAGAGCAUAAUAAGGAAGAGAGAUAUGAACAAAAAACCCAUUUUUUGGUUCUUGCUCUUCAUACAAAUCAUUGCAUGGGGCACACUACUACACCUCAAGCUUCUUUUUUAUCUUCUUGUAGAGGUGAAGCCUUUUUGGUUUUGGUUAUGUUAUCAAGAAAAGAAGCCUUUUGGGUUAUUUUUAUCUCAUACCUUUAGGAUUUUGAGGAGGAAGAAAGUCAAUGCAUAGAACUUGGUGCCUGUUUUCUUAAUAUAUAGAAAUGUUUGGUAAAGAUUUCAGAGCCAGUGAGGAAAGAAACUCAACUAUAGCAUCAGAACAGUGAGAGAAAGUAGAAGCCAGAGAGAGAAGAGAAAGAGAGAGUUAGGUUGGGGUAGAGUGAGAGAGGGUGAAGAAGCUAGAGAAGAAAGUCAAGAGAGAAAUGGGUUUUGGGAUUCUUAAGCGGAAAGCUUUGGAGCAAGG